rnacentral:rRNA from 1 species
GAAAGGGCACUAGCCUAUGAUUUCUCAUAGGUGCGCCGGACAGUGGUGCAUGGUCGUCGUCAGCUCGUGUCGUGAGAUGUUGGGUUAAGUCCCGCAACGAGCGCAACCCUUGCCCUGUGUUACCAGCGGGUUAUGCCGGGGACUCACAGGGGACUGCCGGCGAUAAGUCGGAGGAAGGAGGGGAUGACGUCAGAUCAGUAUGCCCUUUAUGCCCUGGGCUACACAGGCGCUACAGUGGCAGGGACAAUGGGAUGCAAUGCAGCAAUGCGGAGCUAACCCCAAACCCUGUCGUGGUGCGGAUUGGGGGUUGCAACUCACCCCCAUGAAGGCGGAAUCGGUAGUAAUGGCGAAUCAGCAAUGUCGCCGUGAAUACGUUCCCGGGUCUUGUACACACCGCCCGUCACGCCAUGGGAGUCGGGUUCAUCGGAAGUCCCCGAGCUAACCGCAAGGAGGCAGGGGCCGAUGAUGGGCCCGAUGACUGGGGCGAAGUCGUAACAAGGUAGCCCUAGGGGAACCUGCGGCUGGAUCACCUCCUU